ACUUUCAACAACGGAUCUCUUGGUUCUGGCAUCGAUGAAGAACGCAGCGAAAUGCGAUACGUAGUGUGAAUUGCAGAAUUCAGUGAAUCAUCGAAUCUUUGAACGCACAUUGCGCCCUUUGGUAUUCCAAAGGGCAUGCCUGUUCCAGCGUCAUUU
rnacentral:rRNA from 1 species